rnacentral:rRNA from 1 species
UACGUAGGGUGCAAGCGUUAAUCGGAAUUACUGGGCGUAAAGCGUGCGCAGGCGGUUAUGUAAGACAGGGGUGAAAUCCCCGGGCUUAACCUGGGAACUGCAUUUGUGACUGCAUAGCUAGAGUACGGUAGAGGGGGAUGGAAUUCCGCGUGUAGCAGUGAAAUGCGUAGAUAUCGGGAGGAACACCGGUGGCGAAGGCGGCCCCCUGGUUGGAUACUGACGCUGAGACGCGAAAGCGUGGGGAGCAAACAGG